GGACUACCGGGGUAUCUAAUCCUGUUUGCUACCCAUGCUUUCGCGCCUCAGCGUCAGUAUUUGUCCAGGAAGCCGCCUUCGCCACUGAUGUUCUUUCCGAUAUCUACGCAUUUCACCGCUACACCGGAAAUUCCACUUCCCUCUACAAUACUCUAGUCUACCAGUCUUAAAUGCAAUCCCUAGGUUAAGCCCAGGUCUUUCACAUCUAACUUAAUAGUCCGCCUACGCGCCCUUUACGCCCAGUAAUUCCGAUUAACGCUCGCACCCUCUGUAUUACCGCGGCUGCUGGCAC
rnacentral:rRNA from 1 species